AUUUUUUUUAAACUUUUUUAUUGUAUACCUUUUAAGCAUCACCACCCUUCUUUUGAUAGAAUAUGUUUCUUGUACUUUAUGUGUGCAAAUAAAUAUAAAAUAUCCCAGAUAAAUGCAAAGAAAGAAACAAAAAAAACCUCCAUUGUAACACUCUGUGACACUAGCCUACAUCGAGAUGUUCGUAGUAAUGUUACUGUUAAUGUGUGAUUAGUUGUAAAAGCGGAAGAGGUUACAGUUAAAUUGCACAUUCCUAUUGGUAAAGCUGGAUCUGGAUGUAAAGGACCAGACGUGAGUAUUGAGUAUUAUUGUUUGAAACUACAGUUAAGUCCAUAUGGGAUUUUGGACAAUGACACAUUUUCUGUUUGUCUACAAAUCACGGAAGUAUGUUUUGUUUUUUAAUCCAACAAUCCAGAUGUAAAUGAGGGGCAGACUUUGAGCUUUACUUCAAGUGGUUUAACAAAAGUAUUGCAUGAUAUAAGCAGUUUCAAGAGCAAUUGAGCAAUGUUUCCUGGUUAUUCCAUGACAAAUCAAGCUGGUGAGAGACCUGGAGUUGAUUCCAAGUGGUGAACUCUGUAGAUUUUCAACAGAACUCUCAACAUGAGGUCCAAAGAGACAUAGAUUUAGGUGAUGGAGGUAAGGCUGAAAAACCAAAUAGUCCUGUUAGAGAAAUAGCAAAAUCCUUAUAGGACACUGUCAUGGUCUCCGUGCCUGCCCGGCCGGCCCCACAAGGCUACAUUUGCUGUUUCGGUUCUCUCUCUCUCUCUCUCUCCCUCCCUCUCUGCCUGGGCGGAGCUCACUGUGGGCUCCCGCCCUUGGCCCACACACCUGACAACAAUCACCUGUCAUCACCGGGAGCACUAUUUGAGGCUGGAACACAGAUCCUCUCGUCGCUGGAUGAUUGUACUACUGACACCUUCCCCCCCGGACCUGCGACCUCCCUGCCGUGUGAACGUGUGUGAGUGUGGGCAAGAAGACGUGAGCGAGUGUGAGAGAGCUACCCUGUGAUUCCCUGGAGUUUUGGGAUUCCCUUCACUGUAUAUAUAUUGUGCACUGGUGCCGUAAAUAAACUGUUUUUUGGAGACAUCUAACCGCUCUGCGCUUGAGUCCCUACAACCAGAUCGUGACAGACAGGACAAAUCAACAACUGACCUUCUCAGCUACACAAAAAGGCCUGAAAAGCAACAAAAAACAUCUGAUUAAGAAAAACCCUUCACAUCAUCUAAACAAGGCACAGAGAAUCUGUCCACGAUGCCCAGGUGUUCUAGACUUCAGACUGCUUCAUGUUUGUUAAACCAUUUGAUGUAAAGCUCAGACUCUGCAUCUGAAUCACAUCCUGGUUGUUUGAUUUUAAAGUGACUGUGUUGAUGUACAGAAAGGCAACAUUACAAAAAAAUUGCGUCAUGUUCCAAAAACCUGUGGCGCAUUGGGUGAGCUCAGAGUAUAAAGGUGCUCAGGUCUCGCUAUUUAUGCUCCACAACGUGCAGCUGGGCAAAUGCAUCAGCACAAAAUGCACAAGUGCUUCCGACCUUUUAAAUUGUCGCUUUGUGAUGCAGAUGCACUGAGUCACAGCCCCCAAUCAGGCCGCAGGAAAAAAAAACGUGCACCGAGUCCAGGAUCACGACAAAACUUUGCAGCUUUAUGCAAUGAUCGCCACCUCCUCCACUCACACCGACGUGGCUCCUUUAACUCCCACAUCUCAUAUGCUCUGGCACCCAUUGUCUGGAUAGAUCUUUCUUCAGAGUAGCUCGUAUGUGUUAGGAAGCAAAGAAAAAACACACACAAAGGGAUAUUCCGCAAUCCUGUUCCACACGAUUUCCUCCUCCGCUGUGGGCAAGCAAUCCACAACACCGGCCACAGACUAGU